GUAAGUUCCCUGCGGCCUGCCCAUCCAUGCUGAACUGUAGGAUCCUGAUUGUUACACGAACUGUCCACCUCCAUCCAGAGCCGUGUGGCUUGUAGUGCCUUCUCGUGGCAGGUAUAUUUUCCUGCCUGUUCACGUGACUUGUGUUGGCCAGUGGAAUAUAGUUUGAUCUGCAGUAGUUUGAAUCUGAGGAUGCUGAACCUGUGGAUAAGGAGAGCCUACUUUUCUUGGACAAAUGCCCUGUGUCAGAAGAGUGUGGUAAACAGAAGCUCAGCUCCUUCAAGGAUGACAGCCUUGGUUACACCACCAGUUUCUCUAGGAAAAGAGACCAAAGUCAGGGAGCAGUCGUUUUCACAUGGGAUGAACUCAGUGUAAGAGGCAAGCAGAUUGUGGAAGAUUAGAAGAUAAUGGAUACUAUUAUUCCAUCCAGAUUCCUCUUCAGGACCAAGGACUCAUUUUCCAGCUGGCAGGAAUGUUAGCUACUGACGGCCAUGGCUGAGUUCCUCUUCAGGAAUUAUCCUCCACUUGAGGGGAAUUGCUUUGUUCAGUGUUACACUCCCUCUAUAGUGGCAGCCCACACUGGUUGAUGUGGGGUACAAAGUCCUGGACCUUGUCUUAGAUGGGAUAGUUCUGAAGGGCUAUUCCAGCUCCAGAACUCCUCAUAGGAUUGGCUGAGGUCUCCUCUGCAACUGGAUCACAGUUCAACUUUUUCUUCUGCCCAGUCCUUCUUCUCUCAUCUGUUGCCAGUUUUAUUCGUGUGAGCAUUCGGAUCACCAACGCUGUGACCUCGCUGUGUGAACGGGAGCUACUACAGGAAGGAAGCUUACAAAUGAGCUGCAUGGAUCCCACAUUUUGCUAAAAUCAAAUAGGACCUUUCUCCUCUUUGUUGAAUGCCGUAAUACACAAGAAAUAAGCCAGCAGGAUGCUCAUGUCCAAGGUUUCCCUUUAUCUACCACACGAGUUGGCAUGAAACAACUUCUGGGGUUCAAAUCUUCUGAACAAUGAUACAAGUCUUGGCAAAUUUCAAGAAUAAUUUAAAGAGGAAAUAAAUAGCUUUUUGUUUAACUUGGAUCAAUUAUCUCCUAUUGCUCCCAGCUUCAUGCCAGGUACUCUCCACUGUGCCUGGGAAAUAUGAAUCCCUGCCCUCAUGAAAAAACAUUGGCCAUGAGGAUUUUCCCUACAACCCAAGAACUAUUUGAAGUUUGAAGUCUUUCAGCCCAGACAACACUGGCUAUUUUCACCUUUGCCUUCAACUAUAAAGGCUGGGCUCUCUCUGCAGGAGUGGGUUACUGCUGGCAGAACAGAGAAAGAGAGAGAGCAGGAGAGAGAGAGACAGACAGAAUCCACUAGUAGAAUAAGCCAUGAUCACCACUCAAAACUUUUGCUACUACUUGAUCAGUACCUGGAAUUCUGAGGAAAACCCUAUUAGAGAUUGCAAAUCCAGUAAAUAAAGGCAGCAGUGGUACCUUGUUAAAAACAUCAAAUCCAAAGUGCUCUGAGGAGGAAUAUGUACGGUGUGUUCUAGGGACAGAAAAUAAGACAAACGUGGCUGGAGUAUUGGAAGGGGAAGUGAGUGUUACUAGAGAAGGUCAUGAGGUGAGGCGGGCCAGAUCAUAUGGGUCUGUGUAAGCUAUGGCAAGGAGUGUGGAUUUUAUUCCAAGUAAGAUGGAAAGCCUUUAUGAAGUUUUAAAAACGGCAGUGUUAUGAUUUGUAACAUCUGAGUUUAUGUUUACAUCGUGGCCAAAUUAUUUUAUAAAAUAAUGUAAUAAUGGUUCAACAGUUUGAUUGUGUUGCCCUUAAAAUUUCACAAGACUUAAAAUUUUCUACACUAUUCAUUUCAGUAUUGACUGUAAUUUAAUAACUCAAUUAGUAAUGUUAAAUAAAUUAUUUGUUACUACCUAUUGAAAUUAUAUAUAUAUAUACACACAC
rnacentral:lncRNA from 1 species